GGAACAGUAGCUCACAGUCCCUGGCCCUCAUCAAGCUGGUCUCGGCUCCACCCCUCUCAGGGCUGGGUUCAGCCCAUGGCGCAUGCGUCUUUGCAGGAGAAUUCCGGCCGUGUUGAUCUCCAGGGUCUGUUCCAGACUGGCAGGCAGCAUCCAGAGCCAUCCUUCCAGCCCCAAGGACAGAGUGGGGUUCCUGAGUGGAUCCUGGGAGGAGCUCGCCGUUCCUUCCUUCCUCCGGGGCUCACUGAGCAGCUGCCGGGACCAGAUGGACGGAUGCCGAGAGGUGGACGGCGGGCGGCUGGGCGGGGGGCACUGGGUGGGUGUGUGGACAGGUGGGUGAGGAGACGGGCGGAUGCGCGGGUGAGAGGUGGAGGCUGCACGGAGGAUGGGUGGUGGGAAAUGGCUGGGUAGAUGGGAGGUCAUGGGAGGAAGGACGGACAGACAGACGGGUGGUGGACAGAUGGAGGAGUGGCUGAGGAGGGUAGAGAGUGGCUGGACGUGUGGUGAGUGGGGCUCAGAGGUGGGCGGGUGGAAGGGUGGACUGACGGGUGACACGGG
rnacentral:lncRNA from 1 species